UAAUGCAUGGUUAGCUACCCUCGGGACUGGGAUAGCGGCGGGAAACUGCCGGUAAUACCAGAUGAUGUCUUCGGACCAAACGUGUAAACCGGCCCGAGGAGGUGACCAUGUCCUAUCAGCUUGUUGGCGGGGUAACGGCCCACCAAGGCAAAGACGGGUAUGGGGCGUGAGAGCGUGCCCCCACUCACUGGGACUGAGAACUGCCCAGACACCUACGGGUGGCUGCAGUCGAGAAUCUUCGGCAAUGGGCGCAAGCCUGACCGAGCGACGCCGCGUGCGGGAUGAAGGCCUUCGGGUUGUAAACCGCUGUCGUAGGGGAGGAAGGUCUGGUGUAGAACCAGGCUUGACCGAUCCUAGGAGGAAGGGCCGGCUAAUCUCGUGCCAGCAGCCGCGGUAAUACGAGAGGCCCAAACGUUAUUCGGAAUUACUGGGCUUAAAGAGUCCGUAGGCGGCGCGGCAAGUGGGGUGUGAAAGCCCUCGGCUCAACCGAGGAAUUGCGCUCCAAACUGCCGUGCUUGAGGAACCUAGAGGUGGGCAGAACUGAUGGUGGAGCGGUGAAAUGCG
rnacentral:rRNA from 1 species